rnacentral:rRNA from 1 species
AGAGUUUGAUCCUGGCUCAGAUUGAACGCUGGCGGCAGGCCUAACACAUGCAAGUCGGGCGGUAGCACAGAGAGCUUGCUCUCGGGUGACGAGCGGCGGACGGGUGAGUAAUGUCUGGGAAACUGCCUGAUGGAGGGGGAUAACUACUGGAAACGGUAGCUAAUACCGCAUAACGUCGCAAGACCAAAGUGGGGGACCUUCGGGCCUCAUGCCAUCAGAUGUGCCCAGAUGGGAUUAGCUAGUAGGUGGGGUGAUGGCUCACCUAGGCGACGAUCCCUAGCUGGUCUGAGAGGAUGACCAGCCACACUGGAACUGAGACACGGUCCAGACUCCUACGGGAGGCAGCAGUGGGGAAUAUUGCACAAUGGGCGCAAGCCUGAUGCAGCCAUGCCGCGUGUAUGAAGAAGGCCUUCGGGUUGUAAAGUACUUUCAGCGAGGAGGAAGGCAUUAAGGUUAAUAACCUUAGUGAUUGACGUUACGUGCAGAAGAAGCACCGGCUAACUCCGUGCCAGCAGCCGCGGUAAUACGGAGGGUGCAAGCGUUAAUCGGAAUUACUGGGCGUAAAGCGCACGCAGGCGGUCUGUUAAGUCAGAUGUGAAAUCCCCGGGCUCAACCUGGGAACUGCAUUUGAAACUGGCAGGCUUGAGUCCUGUAGAGGGGGGUAGAAUUC